GCUUUUCUAUUUGUUUUAGUGUGAAUAUUAGCUGUGUAAUAGUAUGCAUAUUAGCUGUUUAUUAGUUGACAAUUAGGAUUAAUUAGUUGAUUUAGUUUCCUAGAAUAACUUCUCUAGUUGUGUAUAAAUAGAUGUUAUAUUUUCAAUACAAUAAACAAUUCUCUUCACAUAUCAUUACAUGGUAUCAGAGCAGAGCCAGGUUCUGGGUUUGAGAUUUGAAAUUCGAAAUUAGAGUUCAUCACAAAUUGGGGUUUGCAAUUAGGGUUUAAUUUUCUUUCAUUUUUAGGGUUCCUAUUUCGGAAACCCUAUUUAGAGUGUUCUUUUGUUCUCACCACCGGCACAGAAGGACUGCCCAGCCGCCGACCAACCAGAUCCUGCCGUCCGAGGUCCAAAUCCCGUAGCCCGCUGCCCAGUCCCCCACGCGCCGGCGCGUGCGCUGUUCAGCCGCCGUGCUUUCGACUCUGGUUGGUCCCCACGUCCUUCUUGACACUUUUCUGCCUAGUUUGUGUUCUUCUCCGAUCAUUUUCAUAUCUGUUUUUGUUCAAUUCUUGUGUUUAGAAAGUUCCUUUUCUUGGCUUUAUUUACUUGUUUUCUCCAUAUUUUCUUUUGAGGUUAUGGCUGAGACAAAAUCCGUGGUAUCUGAUGUGGUUCCUGUUAUGUCUAAAAUCACGGACCAUAAACUGAAUGGUUCAAAUUAUUUGGACUGGAGUAAGACUAUUCGGCUUUAUUUACGAAGUAUCAACAAAGAUGACCAUUUGACUGAUGAUCCUCCUAAAGACAAAGGUAAUUCGAGACAGACAUGGCUCAGGGAGGAUGCAUUCUUAUUCCUUCAGAUUCGAAAUUCCAUUGAUAGUGAGUUAAUUGGCUUGAUCAAUCAUUGUCAGUUUGUUAAAGAACUAAUGAAUUAUUUGGAAUUUUUGUAUUCGGGAAAAGGGAAUCUCUCUCGUAUGUAUGAGGUUUGCAAAGCAUUUUACCGUGUGGAAAAACAAGAUCAGUCACUUAUAAACUACUUUAUGGCAUUUAAAAAGACGUAUGAGGAGCUUAAUAUGUUGCUGCCAUUUGGUACCGACGUGAAGGUUCAACAAAAACAACGAGAGCAAAUGGCUAUUAUGAGCUUUCUAGCUGGGCUCUCCUCUGAGUUUGAUUCUGCUAAGGCACAAGUUUUUUCUGGGACUGAUAUAUCCUCCUUACAAGAUGUCUUUAGUCGUGUCCUCCGCACGGAAAUAACACCACCUGUUUCGCUUAAUGGUGCCUUGGUAAUUCGCAAUAAUAAUUAUGCGCCUGAGAGAUCCUCUAAUCCAAGUGGAAACAAAGGAGGUAGUUCACAAGGAUUUGACACUCGAACGUUGGAUUCUGGAGGCAUUAUUUGCAACUAUCGUAAAAACCGAGCCACACCAAGUUUGAGUGUAGAAAGUUACAGUUUAAAAACCAGCAUAAACACUCAGCUAAUGUUGCAUCUAAUAGUGAUACCUCUGACAAAUCAAUCCUUAUCUCUGCUAAUGAGUUUGCCAAGUUCUCCAAGUAUCAGGAAUCACUUAAGUCUUCAUCUCUUUCUAUCACUACUAUUGCUGAUUCAGGUAAAACUAAUGUGUGCCUUCUUUCCUUAUCCUCAAAAUGGGUCAUUGAUUCUGGUGCUACAAAUCAUAUGACAGGUAAUUCUAGUCUCUUCAUUUCAGUCUUCUGCUUCUACUUCUACAGUUACUUUAGCCGAUGGGUCACCAUCGUGUGUUCGUGGGUCUGGCAGCAUCACUCCUACCCCUUUGUUGUCUUUGUCUUCUGUCUUACAUUUACCUCAUUUAUCCUUUAAUUUACUCUCUGUCAGUCAACUCACUCGUAAUCUCAAUUGUUGUGUUUCAUUUUUUCCUGAUCAUUGCUUAUUUCAAGAUCUUAUGACUAAGAAGAUUAUUGGUAAAGUUUAUGAAUCUGGAGGCCUCUACACUCUUGAUACAUCGCCACCCAGCUCUAUUGCUUGCUCGAGUGUUCCUUCUCCUUUCGAGGCUCAUUGUCGAUUGGGUCAUCCAUCUCUCCCUUUACUAAAGAAGCUUUGUCCUCAAUAUAGUACAGUGUCUUCCUUAAAUUGAGAGUUGUGUCAGUUUGCAAAACAUCAUCGUCUUAGUUCGAGUCCUAAAGUCAAUAAAUGUGCUAGUGUUCCUUUUGAAUUAGUUCAUUCUGAUGUUUGGGGUCCUCCUAUUUUGUCUAAACCUGGAUUUCGGUAUUUUGUUACAUUUGUAGAUGAUUAUUCUCGUGUAACUUGGUUAUUUUUAAUGAAAAGUCGUUCAGAGCUAUUUUCCCUGUUUUGUGCGUUUUGUGCUGAAAUUAAAACUCAGUUUAAUGUUUCAAUUCAUACUUUGCGAAGUGAUAACGCCAAAGAAUAUACAUCUGCUUUAUUUCAAUCUUAUAUGACUCAGAAUGGCAUACUUCAUGAAACUUCCUAUGUUGAUACCCCAUCCCAAAAUGGUGUGGCGAAACGUAAAAACAGACACCUUCUUGAAAUUGCACAAGCUCUCUUAUUUCAAAUGCAUGUUCCUAAACCGUUUUGGGCUGAUGCAGUUUCCACAGCAUGUUUUCUCAUUAAUCGAAUACCGUCCUCUGUUCAUCAAGGUGAGAUACCUUACAAAAUUCUUUUUUCGCAAAAGUCUUUGUUCCCUGUUGACCCUAAGAUAUUUGGUAGCACUUGUUUUGUUCGGGAUGUUCGUCCGCAUGUCACUAAAUUAGAUCCAAGUCUUUGAAAUGUAUUUUCCUUGGUUAUUCCCGUCUUCAGAAAGGCUACUGGUGUUAUUGUCCCAGUCUUAACAAAUAUUUGGUCUCCAUUGAUGUCACUUUCCUCGAAGAUACACCUUAUUUCCCUUCUCUGCCUGUUCCCACUCGUCAGGGGGAGGACGAUGAUUUGUUGGUCUAUUCUAUCACAUCUUCUCUUAACUUGGACCUAUCACCGAUCUCGCAACCUGUUCUUGUGAAGCCUAUUAUUCUUCAAGUUUACUCCAGGUGACAUCCUCUUGAUUCAUGUCCUGCACCUGCUCCUUCGUCAUCAGAUCCGGACCCGAGCGAUGAUCUUCCAAUUGCAUUACGCAAAGGUAAACGUCAGUGUACUUAUCCCAUUUCUUCUUUUGUUUCUUAUAAUAACUUGUCGUCUUCCUCUCGCUCUUUCAUUGCUUCCCUUGAUUCUAUUUCUAUUCCUAAGACUGUUCGUGAAGCCAUAUCUCAUCUUGGUUGGCAUACUGCAAUGCUAGAGGAGAUGAAUGCUUUAGAUGAUAAUGGUACUUGGGACUGGGUCGAUUUACCUUCAGGGAAAUAGGCUAUUGGUUGCAAAUGGGUCUUCACGGUUAAGGCCAAUCCAGAUGGGUUAGUUGCUCUAUUGAAAGCUUGUCUUGUCGCCAAGGGCUAUGCUCAAACUUAUGGAGUAGAUUAUUCUUAAACUUUCUCUCCUGUUGCAAAGUUGACAUCUGCUCAGCUUAUUUCAAUGGCAGCUACUCAUCAUUGGCCUUUACAUUAACUUGAUAUCAAGAAUGUUUUUCUUCAUGGUGAUCUUCAGGAGGAGGUGUAUAUGGAGCAACCUCCUGGGUUUGUUGCUCAGGGGAAGUCACGACGAGUUUUCGUCUUCGAAAAUCUUUAUAUGGUUUGAAACAAAAUCCUCGUGCUUGGUUUGGAAAGUUUAGUCAAGCUAUUGAGAAACUUGGUAUGAUGAAAAACAAGUCUGAUCAUUCGGUGUUCUACAAACGAUCAGAAGUUGGCAUCAUUUUGUUAGUUGUAUAUGUGGAUGACAUUGUUAUUACCAGAAAUGAUACUAGCGGAAUCUCUUCUCUUAAAUCUUUCCUUCAUACUCAAUUUCACACGAAAGAUUUGGGGGUGUUAAAGUAUAUCUUAGGAGUUGAGGUCACUCAAAGUAAACAAGGUGUCUUUCUAUCUCAAAGAAAGUAUGUCCUUGACUUAUUGACUGAAACAGGAAAAUUAGGGGCAAAACCCUGUAGUGCUCCAAUGACUCCAAAUUUUCACUUACAGGAGAUGGGGAACCAUUUGAAGACCUUGAAAAGUAUCGAAGGUUGGUUGGGAAGUUAAAUUAUCUUAGUGUGACUCGUCCAGACAUUGCCUACUCAGUUAAUGUUGUAAGUCAGUUUAUGUCAUCCCCAACAAUUGAUCAUUGGGCAGCGUUAGAGCAGAUUUUGUGUUACUUGAAAGGAGCACCAGGACGCGGUAUUGUGUAUGCGAAUCACGGACACACUCAUAUUGGGUGUUUCUCAAAUGCAAAUUGGGCAGGUUCCAAAGUAGAUAGAAGAUUCACUUUAGGUUAUUGUAUUUUUGUUGGAGGGAAUCUGGUCUCAUGGAAGAGUAAAAAGCAAACCAUUGUGUCACGAUCUAGUGCAGAGUCGAAAUAUCGAGUUAUGGCACAGUCUGUGUGUGAGAUAAUGUGGAUAUAUUAAUUAUUGACUGAAGUAGGACUUAAAACUUCAGUACCUGCAAAAUUAUGGUGUGAUAACCAAGCUGCUCUUCAUAUUGCAACUAAUCCUGUGUUUCAUGAACGAACGAAGCACAUUGAAAUUGAUUGUCAUUUUGUUUGUGAGAAAAUUCAACAAGGCUUGAUUUCUACAGGAUAUAUGAAGACUGGAGAACAACUAGGGGACAUUUUUACAAAAGCUUUAAAUGGGGUUCGGGUUGACUAUUUUUAUAAUAAGCUGGGCAUGAUUAACAUUUAUGCUCCAGCUUGAGGGGGAGUGUUAUAGUGUGAAUAUUAGUUGUGUAAUAGUGUGCAUAUUAGCUGUUAAUUAGUUGACAAUUAGGAUUAAUUGGUUGAUUUAGUUUCCUAAAAUAACUUCUACUUCUCUAGUUGUGUAUAAAUAGAUGUUAUAUUUUCAAUGCAAUAAACAAUUUUCUUCAUAUAUCAUUACACUAUUUAAAUGGAUUGUUUUAAGCAGUUUUUGCAUCAUAAGAUUGGAAAUUUUUGUUGUUCUUUCUGUUCCUAAAGGUUAUAUUUUUUUGGACCCUGUGUUUUGUCCAAUUACUUAUUUGGACCUUGUGUUUUGACAAAUGACUUUUUGGACCUGUGUUUUGUAAAAGGUUUCAAAUAUAAUUCUAAAUCGAUUUUGAUCAAAGUUUUCUUAACUAAAAUUACAAAAAAUUCACCAAACUAACAAUUCAAAACAAAAACAAAAUCAUUGAUAUUAAGAGUCUAUUUGAACCAUUUUACAAAACAUUGGGUCCAAAAAAGAAUUUAUCAAAAUACAAUGUUUAAACAGGUGAUGGAACAAAAUGAGUGGUCUAAAAAUGUAUAAACCUUACUUUUAAUAUUGUAAAAUGAUAUAUACUUGUGUAUUCAUCUUACAAAAGUCGGAAAUGAUCGUGCUGCUACACCAUUUAGGGCACUUGGGUUGCAAAAAGACAAUAUUAAUAGUUUAAUAUCCUGAUAAAUGUUAUCAUAAACCAUCAAACCUACAUAUUAAUAUUCGUUUUACGAGAAUUGGUAAAACCAAGAAAGUAAUUACCAUGUCAAACCUUAUUAUUCUUGCUACUGUCAAGUUUUUUUUGCCACUGAUUCAUUUAUUUCCUGUUCUCCAGUUGAACCUUUGGGUGUCAAAUUAAAAUGAACCAGAUGGCCAUAUAUAAACUUAUUUGAUUGAACACUUUUGAUGAUGAAAUUUUUUCAAUGAACAUGAACUGCAUCUAUUUUGCUACAAUCAGUGUAUGCACACAAAGUCGAAGUUCAAGACUACAAGCUUCUCUGCCUUGCAAGAGUGGAAGUAAGAGAUCAAAAGUUCUCUCUUGUUGGAAUUCUUGGCGGUUGGUGGUCUUUACCUAGUCCAAGUCAAGGAGCUUAUUCUAUACUUAGACUCAUACAGAAACUAAAAGUACAACAGCUUGAACUAAGUGUUUAAUGCUUAAAUAUGCACAAUAAAAAUGAACCAAUUUUUUUUUAUCCA